GAUUAACGCUGGCGGCGUGCAUGAGACAUGCAAGUCGAACGGGCGACUCGGGCUUGCUCGAGUCGCUAGUGGCGGACGGCUGAGUAACGCGUAGGUGACUUGCCCCGAAGUGAGGAAUAACUGCCCGAAAGGGUGGCUAAUACCGCAUGUGGUGGUGCGUUCAUUCGCACCAGUAAAGCCGUAAGGCGCUUCGGGAGAGGCCUGCGUCCGAUUAGCUCGNGGUGGGGUAACGGCUCACCAAGGCGACGAUCGGUAGGUGGUCUGAGAGGACGAUCACCCAGACUGGGACUGAGACACGGCCCAGACUCCUACGGGAGGCAGCAGUGGGGAAUAUUGGACAAUGGGCGCAAGCCUGAUCCAGCGAUGCCGCGUGUGUGAAGAAGGCCUGCGGGUUGUAAAGC
rnacentral:rRNA from 1 species